rnacentral:rRNA from 1 species
AUGACUCCAACUCAGAGACCCACAAUUACAAACAUUGAGAGGGUGUCAGAUCUCAUAGACACUCGGAGUUGGUCUUGGAAGUUCGAGCUGAUCAGGGAUAAUUUCACGGCUCAAGAUGCCGAGGCCAUACUUAAUAUUCCUAUCAGGCAAGGCGGUGGUGAUGAUUUUCUAGCUUGGGCAUUUGACAUAUCAGGUAACUACACUGUAAAGACAGCGUACCGUGCUCUCGUGACUCAGAACGAGCGUUUGGCUCUAGAGGAAGGGACGGAUACCGAAACCUCAUCGGAUGAUCAACAAAUGUGGAAAUCCUUGUGGAAGUUGAAUGUUAUCCCAAAAGUAAGAGUAUUCUGGUGGAGAGUGUUACGUGGCAUUCUUCCAGAUGAAACUACUCUCAACUAUCGACACAUUGCAGAAGUUCGCUAG